GGGACGGUGGCCGACAGGGCACUUCCGCCCUGGGAGGAUGAAGACGCGUUCAUCGGUACCUUCUGGGAGCCCACAUGGGACGAUUGCCGGCAGCUUUUGCAGGUCCUGUUCAUGACUGAGGAAAGAGAAAGAAUCCUCAGUAAGGCCUGAAAACUAGUUCCGGGUGCAGACGGGAAUCCCACCACCAACCAGGCUCAGAUAGAUGCCUCCUUCCUCUUAACUUGGCCCAAGUGGGAUUUCAGCAUGGCAGAAGGUAAGGAGAGGCUCUGGGUCCACCGCCAGACUCUAAUGGGGGGGUCUCUGAAUGGCUGCUAGGAAGCCGACCAAUUUGGCCAAGGUAGGAAAUGUACAACAGGGAAAAGAUGAAUCUCCGGCUGCCUUUUUAGAACGGAUCACGGAGGCAUUCCGUACCUAUACCCCCAUCGAUCCAGAGGCUCCGGAAAGCAAGGCAGCUGUUAUCAUGGCCUUUGUAAACCAAUCGGCCAUAGACAUUAGGAAAAAAUUACAGAAAAUAGAUAGACUAGGAGAAAAAAGUCUGCAGGACUUACUGGUGGUAGCCGAAAAGGUAUAUAAUAACUGGGAGCCUCCUGAGGACAAGCAGGCUCACGCCAUGGUGGCUGCCAGCAGUAAGCAGACUCGAGACCUGGCCAGAAUACUACUAGCUACCACUGCUGACUCCCCCGAGGAACGAGACCGCUGUCUCUGGCAGCUGGCAGACGACUCAAAAGGAGGUAAAGGAACCACCAAGGGGGGAAGCAGAGGCUGCAGAAAGAUCAGUGAGCAUACUGCAAGGAGAUGGGGCAUUGGGCCCAAGAUUGUCCAAAAAAGGCCAGCGGGAAGGGAAGCAAGACUGAUCAAGUAAAAGUCUUAGAGCUAGAUGAGCUGAGUGAUUAGGGGAGUGGGGGUUCGGACCCUCUCCCCGAGCCCAGGGUAACUCUUAAAGUGGAGGGGACCCCUGUUGACUUCCUUGUUGACACUGGAACACAACAUUCGGUCCUCUGUACCCCACAAGGAAAACUAGCCAGCAAGAAGUCCUGGGUACAAGGGGCGACUGGUAUGAGCCAGUAUUCAUGGACUACCCAAAGAAUGGUAGAUUUGGGGACGGGCCGGGUAUCCCACUCCUUCAUGGUAAUACCAGAAUGCCCCUACCUGCUGUUAGGACGGGACUUAAUCAAGAUUGGAGCUCAGAUAACUUUCAGACAAGGGGGGCCUCAGGUCACCGAUGGCAAGGGCCACCCCAUCCAGGUCCUGACCAUGAAACUAGAGGAUGAAUACCGCCUCCACUAGGAGGCUCUCCCGAGAGAGGAUAAUAUAGACAGAUGGCUACAAGAAUUCCCCUCUGUUUGGGCAGAGACUGGGCAAUAGGACUAGCCACUCACAGGACCCCAGUCCUGGUAGAGCUCAAGCCAGGAGAAGGUCCGGUAAGGAUCAAACAAUACCCCAUGUCUCAGAAGGCCCGGAAGGGGAUCCAGCCACACAUCCGGAGACUAUGAAGCCUAGGGGUACUAGUUCUUGCCAGUCUGCCUGGAACACCCCCCUACUGCCAGUCAAAAAGCCUCACACAAAUGACUAUCGACUGGUACAAGACCUUUGGGAAGUAAAUAAGAGGGUCACGGACAUACACCCAACUGUUCCCAACCCAUAUACUCUCUUGAGCUCCUUGGCGCCCUCCAGGGCCUGGUAUAUUGUACUAGAUUUAAAGGACGCCUCUUCAGUCUGCCGCUGGCACCCCAAAGCCAACCCUUGUUCACCUUCAAGUGGCAUGAUCCGGAGGAGUGCUACAGCGGACAACUCACCUGGACACGGCUGCCUCAGGGGUUCAAAAAUUCGCCCACCAUCUUCGACGAGGCACUACACGAGGACCUGGGUCCUCGUGAGUACAGAAAGAAAUACCCUGGCCUCACCCUUCUACAGUAUGUAGAUGACAUCCUGAUUGCUGCCGAGACGGCCGAGGACUGUGAGCGAGGGACCCAGGACCUGCUGGCUACCCUGGGGGCCUUGGGGUACCAGGCAUCCGCGAAAAAGGCUAAGAUAUGCAGGGAGAGGAUUCACCAACAGGACACCAAAAUAGAGCAAGUUGUAUCUGCCUGCAAGACCUGCCAAUUCACCAACGCGAGGGCCACAUCAAAUAAAAAAGGAACCAGGCUCAGAGGCACCAG